rnacentral:rRNA from 1 species
GACAGAGGCCUCGAGCGUUUAGGCGGAAUCACUGGGCUUAAAGCGUGUGUAGGCGGACCCCUAAGUGUCUUGUGAAAUCCCACGGCUCACCCGUGGAACCGCUGGGCGACUACGUGGGGGUCUUGGGCCGAUUCAGGGGCGACUGGAAACAAGCGGUGGAGCGGUGAAAUGCGGUAGAUAUCGACUUGGAACGCCGACGGUAGAAAACGGUCGCUGGGAAUGAUGCCG